UGGCUCAGUUGGUAGAGUACGGUGUUUGCAACGCCAGGGUUGUGGGUUCGAUUCCCAC
rnacentral:tRNA from 1 species